AAGGAGGCUGUGACCCCGUGGGAAGCCCACGUUGGAGCAGUCUGUGCCUGAAGGACUGCACCCCGUGGAAGGGACCCAUGCUGGAGCAGUUCAUAAAGAACUGUAGCCCAUGAGAAGGACUCACGUUGGAGAAGUUCAUGGAGAACUGCACCCCAUGGGAGGGACCCCACGCUGGAACAGGGGAAGAGUGUGAGGAGUCCUCCCCC